rnacentral:lncRNA from 1 species
CAUGAACGAGGGGAAAAAAUAUAUUUACGUUCGUUCAAACAUGUCAAACGUUGUAUAGCAUAAAUCAUUAGGGCCUUUUUUAACCAGAACAUGAAUAAUAUUUAAGGUGGACGAAUGCAUACUCUUUUAUAACGUAUUGGAACGAGGGUACCCAACAUGAACUCGCGCGCCAGGUGUCUAAUGGGCCAUCAUCGUUCCAUGGCUCUUGUUCGGUCAGAUCUCCCUCCAGAAGACUCAAAACACUUUGUAAAGGCUGGUGACAUCUAGUGGAAGCAAUAGGAAGUGCCAAAAUAUUCCUCAGCCCCUGUGUUUUUCAAUGGGAUAGGUUUAAAGGUAAUACAACACAUCAGGUAUCCACUUCCUGUCAGAAAAUGUCUCAGGGUUUUGCCUGCCAAAUGAGUUCUGUUAUACUCACAGACACCAUUCAAACAGUUUUAGAAACUUUAGGCUGUU